GUUUGUAUUUAAUGUUGAUGAGUGAAAUAAUUUCUUAAGAACAGCACCAUGAGCAGGAUUUAUGCAUUAACCGAUCUUCCUGCUCUCGUAGAUGAUCGUGAGUUCAGGGUAUGGUUCGGUGGACAAAUCUAUGAUGUGGCUGAGUAUCUUGCAACAGCGAGCGAAGAAGAUAGGAACAGUCUAAUAGCCGCAGCAGAUACCGUAUAAACGUACUACGAAAAUAUGUUUUACGAGUUGUGCAUCAUUUCUUUUUCUGUGAAAAUUUGUUCCAGUCUCAGCAUGAAAUUUAGUGGAAGUACUGCUAGAAAACCACGGGGUAUUAGAAAUAACUGUUAAUUAAAGCUUGCACGAGUACUCUGAGAUAUACAUCUAACUUAUACCACCUCUGCUUUAAAAGUACGCAAUAAUACAACAGAAGCCGCUCGAUUGCUGGAUGGUCACGAAGUCCCACCGGAGGAUCAAGGAGAUAUAGAUAGAACUGAUUUGUCCAGGAACCGUACACACUUCGUUCAACAAGCUCAGGCAGAUAAUACCAGGGCAAUUAUAAUUAUCAUUGUUCUCGCUUUCUUUCUGUAUUUUUUAUCGAAUGGUUCAUCGUUUAAAUAAAAACCAAGCCAGCUUCCAUCAUGAAUGUGUAAGAUUUCGUCUUUAAGCUCGUUAGGGAAGGGGUGUAGUCAAAAGUCCAAAUCUUUGCUCCAUUAGAAUUUACUCUGUUAUGGUUGGGAGUUGUAAGCCCCCUAUUGUGUGAAUUUGGUAAUCACAUAUUGUGACAGUCAGUUGUGUGCUUGUAAUUUAAACGUGUUUCAUGUACUUCAAUAAAUUCUGUGUUAUUACGCAUU